GAUGAACGCUGGCGGUAUGCUUUACACAUGCAAGUCGUACGGGAGUUUUUAACUCUAGUGGCGGACGGGUGAGUAACACGUAAGAAUUUGCCUUUAGGAGGGGGACAACAACUGGAAACGGUUGCUAAUACCCCAUAUGCUUUCGAGUGAAAUGGAUUUAUCCGCCUAAAGAGAAGCUUGCGGCUGAUUAGCUUGUUGGUGGGGUAAUGGCCUACCAAGGCGACGAUCAGUAUCUGGUUUGAGAGGACGAUCAGACACACUGGAACUGAGACACGGUCCAGACUCCUACGGGAGGCAGCAGUGGGGAAUUUUCCGCAAUGGGCGAAAGCCUGACGGAGCAAUACCGCGUGAGGGAUGAAGGCCUAUGGGUUGUAAACCUCUUUUUUCAGGGAGGAACAAAAUGACGUGUACCUGAAGAAUAAGCAUCGGCUAACUCCGUGCCAGCAGCCGCGGUAAGACGGGGGAUGCAAGUGUUAUCCGGAAUCACUGGGCGUAAAGCGUCUGUAGGUGGUUAAGUAAGUCAACUGUUAAAUCUUGAGGCUUAACCUCAAAAUCGCAGUCGAAACUGCUUGACUAGAGUAUAGUAGGGGUAAAGGGAAUUUCCAGUGGAGCGGUGAAAUG
rnacentral:rRNA from 1 species